rnacentral:rRNA from 1 species
UUAGAGGAAGUAAAAGUCGUAACAAGGUCUCCGUUGGUGAACCAGACGGAGGGAUCAUUACUGAGUACUACACUCUCUACCCUUUGUGAACUAUUAUACCUGUUGCUUCGGCGGCGCCCGCAAGGGUGCCCGCCGGUCUCAUCAGAAUCUCUGUUUUCGAACCCGACGAUACUUCUGAGUGUUCUUAGCGAACUGUCAAAACUUUUAACAACGGAUCUCUUGGCUCCAGCAUCGAUGAAGAACGCAGCGAAACGCGAUAUGUAAUGUGAAUUGCAGAAUUCAGUGAAUCAUCGAAUCUUUGAACGCACAUGGCGCCUUCCAGUAUCCUGGGAGGCAUGCCUGUCCGAGCGUCGUUUCAACCCUCGAGCCCCUGUGGCCCGGCGUUGGGGAUCUGCCACGGCAGGCCCCUAAAACCAGUGGCGGACCCGAAGGGCCCUCUCCUUUGCGCAGUAGCAUUCGCCUCGCAUCGGGAGUCCUCGGCGUCCUGCCUCUAAACCCCCCACAAGCCCGCUUCGGCGGCACCAAGGUUGACCUCGGAUCAGGUAGGAAUACCCGCUGAACUUAAGCAUAUCA